AACAUUCGAAUCAAUAAUACUCGAAAAAUUUCAAAAUCGAGUAUUAUGAUUUCGUUUAUUUGAAUAGGAAGAUCUGAUGC
rnacentral:snoRNA from 1 species